CAACAUCUAACCCACCCACCUGGUCGCUGGCAGCUCAGGCUCCGCCCGCGCCCACACGGGCUGACCCUUGACUACCUGCCUGGAAGCACAGCCGAAACAGUUAACCAUUUUCAAAAGCUGCUCAGGUGAUGAUGCUCUACAUCGGAGACAGAACUGUUUUCCUCGGCGGCGUCACUAAUAGCAUGGGCUGGGAGGAAUAAUGCAGUUGGCAUGCAGUCCUGGGUUCCGCUGAGGAUGCAUGAGGCUGGGGACAGGGUGCUGGUGCCAUCUUCCAGGGACGGAUGUGUGGGCCCUGCGAGCACUCAGCUUGGAGCAGGGUUGCAGAUCCUGACCACAAGGACUGAUCACUAUGGACUCUCUAUUUGAAG